rnacentral:rRNA from 1 species
AAUUUGAAAUCUGGUACCUUUGGUGCCCGAGUUGUAAUUUGGAGAGUACCACUUUGGGACUGUACUUUGCCUAUGUUCCUUGGAACAGGACGUCAUGGAGGGUGAGAAUCCCGUGUGGCGAGGGUGUCAGUUCUUUGUAAAGGGUGCUCGAAGAGUCGAGUUGUUUGGGAAUGCAGCUCUAAGUGGGUGGUAAAUUCCAUCUAAAGCUAAAUACAGGCGAGAGACCGAUAGCGAACAAGUACAGUGAUGGAAAGAUGAAAAGAACUUUGAAAAGAGAGUGAAAAAGUACGUGAAAUUGUUGAAAGGGAAGGGCAUUGAUCAGACAUGGUGUUUUGCGCCCCUUGCCUCUCGUGGGCUUGGGACUCUCGCAGCUCACUGGGCCAGCAUCGGUUUUGGCGGCCGGAAAAAACCUAGGGAAUGUGGCUCUGCGCCUCGGUGUAGAGUGUAUAGCCCUGGGGAAUACGGCCAGCCGGGACCGAGGACUGCGAUACUUGUUAUCUAGGAUGCUG